CACGUAGGGCGCAAGCGUUGUCCGGAAUUAUUGGGCGUAAAGAGCUCGUAGGCGGUCUGUUGCGUCCGCUGUGAAAACUCGGGGCUUAACCCCGAGCCUGCAGUGGAUACGGGCAGACUAGAGGUAGGUAGGGGAGAAUGGAAUUCCCGGUGUAGCGGUGAAAUGCGCAGAUAUCGGGAGGAACACCGGCGGCGAAGGCGGCUCUCUGGGACGGUACUGACGCUGAGACGCGAAAGCGUGGGGAGCGAACAGG
rnacentral:rRNA from 1 species